rnacentral:rRNA from 1 species
ACGAACGCUGGCGGCGUGCCUAAUACAUGCAAGUCGAGCGAGCUUGCCUAGAUGAAUUUGGUGCUUGCACCAGAUGAAACUAGAUACAAGCGAGCGGCGGACGGGUGAGUAACACGUGGGUAACCUGCCCAAGAGACUGGGAUAACACCUGGAAACAGAUGCUAAUACCGGAUAACAACACUAGACGCAUGUCUAGAGUUUAAAAGAUGGUUCUGCUAUCACUCUUGGAUGGACCUGCGGUGCAUUAGCUAGUUGGUAAGGCAACGGCUUACCAAGGCAAUGAUGCAUAGCCGAGUUGAGAGACUGAUCGGCCACAUUGGGACUGAGACACGGCCCAAACUCCUACGGGAGGCAGCAGUAGGGAAUCUUCCACAAUGGACGCAAGUCUGAUGGAGCAACGCCGCGUGAGUGAAGAAGGGUUUCGGCUCGUAAAGCUCUGUUGGUAGUGAAGAAAGAUAGAGGUAGUAACUGGCCUUUAUUUGACGGUAAUUACUUAGAAAGUCACGGCUAACUACGUG